rnacentral:rRNA from 1 species
AAGAUUAAAACUCAAAAUGAAUUGACGGGGGCCCGCACAAGCGGUGGAGCAUGUGGUUUAAUUCGAUCAACGCGAAGAACCCUUACCUACUCUUGACAUCCAGAGAACUUAGCAGAGAUGCUUUGGUGCCUUCGGGAACUCUGAGACAGGUGCUGCAUGGCUGUCGUCAGCUCGUGUUGUGAAAUGUUGGGUUAAGUCCCGCAACGAGCGCAACCCUUAUCCUUGUUUGCCAGCACUUCGGGUGGGAACUCCAGGGAGACUGCCGGUGAUAAACCGGAGGAAGGUGGGGACGACGUCAAGUCAUCAUGGCCCUUACGAGUAGGGCUACACACGUGCUACAAUGGCGCAUACAGAGGGCGGCCAACUUGCGAAAGUGAGCGAAUCCCAAAAAGUGCGUCGUAGUCCGGAUUGGAGUCUGCAACUCGACUCCAUGAAGUCGGAAUCGCUAGUAAUCGUGGAUCAGAAUGCCACGGUGAAUACGUUCCCGGGCCUUGUACACACCGCCCGUCACACCAUGGGAGUGGGCUGCAAAAGAAGUGGGU